GAGAGGACCUGGCCAAAAAUUUCGGUUCCGCUCCAGUUGUUCAAAAGCCUCUUCCUUCCGGCUUCCAGUGUGCUGAGGCACAGAUACAUUGUAUUUAAAAGCAAGAGAUAAAGAAGAGAAAGAUCCACUAGGAAGAUGUGAGCAGCAUAAUCAUGAACCACAGGCCUCAUGAGCAACGUGCAGAAGGAAGAGAGGGCAGCUCCAUUUACCCAGGGCACACCAGCUUCAACGGGAUACCAGCCUAGCAGAGAGUACUACUGGGUGAAAGGCUAUCAAAGAGUUCUCCCAACUAACAGCUACUUUCCCUAAAGUAAAAGUUGGUGCAACUGGUGAUGUGAUCCGACAUGAAGAAGAGUAGGUAUUGAAACCCUCCGCUAAAAUACAAUGUCUUCAACUAAGGAAAGAGCCUCCAGCUACAGGCACAGCAGAGCAUGUGUUCUCAGUCUUCAACAUUUUAACAACAGCAUCAGCCUUGGGCCAGAAGGGAACUGCAGCUCCCUAAUCACAGAACCAGAAAGCCGGGAUGACUCUUCCUGAGGGAAGGCAGAAGAAAGCAGCUAGCUUCUCUAAUGCUCAUCUGACGGAGUUUCUGUGACUGGAGCAAGCUCAGGGUUCGAGGAAGCUUGUCACCAAAAUUGGUGUCAUUAAAGAAGGUGGCAUGUCUAAGAGCAUGCCCGGC
rnacentral:lncRNA from 1 species